ACUUGGAAAACCCAGCAUUUCAUAAUGAUGAUUAAAAAUUUAUUCAGUCCACCACACAAAUCAUGAUCGGAAUAGUAGAAUUUGAAGAUGUGAAACUUUCGAGCAAGAAACCCAUAAAUAAGUGUAGUCGUCCACAGAGAGAUGACCACAACCUGGUCCCCGUUUACAUUAAAAGAACUACUGAUUGAAUAAAUACUUGAAGCGUAAAUAAAUUUGCCUAUGCUACUCCCACUAACAUUGUACAAAGAAGAGAAAAAUGUGAACAACUUACAUUCCCCACUGGACCACUUGCAUUCACCGUGGUGGUGCUCUGGUAGUUACCGAGAUGCUCACCAUCACUCACCUCUUCCUUGACCUGAACCUUAACCUCACACAUAUUCACCCGUUUCCCGUCUUCCAGACCCCCUUCAUUAUCUUCC